rnacentral:piRNA from 1 species
UCCAGUUAGAACAAGUCGUGGAGGGCUGGUU